rnacentral:rRNA from 1 species
UACGUAGGCAGCAAGCGUUGUUCGGAGUUACUGGGCGUAAAGGGUGCGUAGGCGGCUUCUUAAGUCUGGUGUGAAAUCUCCCGGCUCAACUGGGAGGGUGCGCCGGAUACUGAGGGGCUAGAGUGUGGGAGAGGAAAGUGGAAUUCCUGGUGUAGCGGUGAAAUGCGUAGAUAUCAGGAGGAACACCGGUGGUGUAGGCGGGUCUCUAGUACGGUACUGACGCUGAGACGCGAAAGCGUGGGGAGCGAACAGG